UGGGGAAUUGUUCGCAAUGGGCGCAAGCCUGACGACGCAACGCCGCGUGGAGGAUGAAGAUCUUCGGGUCGUAAACUCCUUUCGAUCGGGAAGAACGCCUUCGGUGUGAAUAACAUCGAAGGGUGACGGUACCGAGAGAAGAAGCCCCGGCUAACUCUGUGCCAGCAGCCGCGGUAAUACAGGGGGGGCAAGCGUUGUUCGGAAUUACUGGGCGUAAAGGGCUUGUAGGCGGCCGACUAAGUCCGACGUGAAAUCCCCAGGCUUAACCUGGGAACUGCGUCGGAUACUGGUUGGCUUGAAUCCGGGAGAGGGAUGCGGAAUUCCAGGUGUAGCGGUGAAAUGCGUAGAUAUCUGGAGGAACACCGGUGGCGAAGGCGGCAUCCUGGACCGGCAUUGACGCUGAAAAGCGAAAGCCAGGGGAGCAAACGGGAUUAGAUACCCCUGUAGUCC
rnacentral:rRNA from 1 species